UCUUGAUGAAAAUACAAACACAUACAUCUGUGUGAUGUUUUCCUUUUUUAGGGGGCCAAGCCUGAAGGGUUGGAACCCUAUUGUUUUUGUAAGGAUUAUUUUUUUCAUUAUUAUUAUUUUAUUUUUCAGAAUUCACAUAUUGAUAAAAUGUUCACAGACGGUACUUAAAUGUUACCAGGUCAUAGGAUAGAGGGAUUAUUUGUUUAUCAAAACGGCGGAUGCGUGUGCAGAAAGAUUGCAAAAAGAAAAUCUCUGGUAUAAAGGCUGGGACAAAUUAUUAUCGAAUUAUAAUAUGUACACAUUAUGUUGAAAUAUAGAACGUCGCGAUUCCCAUUGAAACGAAUGGCGCAGUGAUUAUUCUUCAAAACGAGAGCUGGUAAAAUGUGAAAAAUGAAUUAAACUGUAAUCAGACAACGCGGUUAUAUGAACCCUAGAGUAUCUGUAGUAUAAAGGCUGGGACGUAUUUCGAUUUAUAAAUAUGUACAAUCCAAAGCGUUAGCUCUCUGGCUCAUAGCUCAUCGGACUCGAAUACCUCCCGUUGCCAAGUUGUAGCUACGGUCCGUCCUAUUUAUGUGAAGACCUUAAUUGAAUGAUCUUAAUUUCUUCUCCUUGGCAAGUGACCAUGGUAUAUGCAUAAUAAUGCCCUUCGAGGUGUCAAAAACAUGUUUGAUCGAUCUUAAUUAAAGGGGACUACUUUUUGAGGGAGAUUAACUCAAACAGAGUAUACAUUUAAUAAGAGUGCAAUACGAAUAAAAAAAAGCAGAAUUAUUAAAGUAUUUGAAUUGUUUUAUUAUGUUGGCAAGCAAGAAGUAGAAUAAAUGGGAUAAUCAGUCUUAUUAAAAGGGUUUGCGCAACCAACCGCACAACAAGACAUGAUUGCGGCUCUUGUCGUUCCUGUCUGUUUCUGCCAACGACAUGCGUGUAGAGCGCAACACAAAAUUCAUACAUUUAAUAGCUUCAAUUUCAUGGAUUUAAUGGCGGCAUACACUCAAUUUAUUUCCAGCUCUCAAGAAAAAAAAUCAUUAAAAAAAAUCAACCAUUAAAAUAGCUAAAGGUAAACUAUUCAAACAAACAAAUAGUUAAUGAGAACAAGUAAAUGUUCUACUAAAACUUCUAAACUAGAAACCAUACCAACAAACAGGGGCCAAUGUUUCUUUCAAUUUCUUCUCCCCCCCAGGAAUGUGACAUGAUCAGACCCCACAAUUAAUUACAGGCUAAUGACAAAAAUCGAAUACAUUUGUUACAGUGGAACCGGUGAAGUUAGUUGCAUUCGCAGUUAUAGCUGUAUUAGGUGGGGUCAUUGUCAACCUUUAUGUGGUCCCAAGACCCUUCUCAAGAGGACCCUUCUUCAUCCUGUGGACUUUAGAAGGAGUAUAAAAGUAUCUAUGUAAUAUUUUGUAUUGUGUGAGCUUUCCCCUUGCCUCUCUCACAUAUUUACCACAAUCCGCAAACAUCUUUGCCCAAUUGUCACACUUGAUCUCUACACUAAUGUCCCUCUGCCAAAUCAAUCUCAUAAUAUUAGAAUCAUUAAACAGAGAAGCAUUAGCAGUCUUGUAAAAUUUAAUGGCUUUACAUUUUUCUAGUGGUAGUUUGAUAUAAUUCAUGACAUUAUUAUCAGCAACACUGUCUGGCUGAGAACUAAUACAGCUCUGUAUCUGCAAAUAAAUCUGUGUGAUGCUUAAACUAUCCGUGGUGUGAAAGGGACAUCGGGCUUGCAAUACUUUGAUGUCAAUGUACAUUGUCUUUUUUUUACCUCUUGCUAAUGUUUGUUAUUAUUAUGCUAGUAUUAAUAAUGAAAAUAAUUAUAAAAAAUCCAAUUAUUAUUUUGGAAGAAACUUCUCUUUCUCAGUUUCAGAGGGAUCCAAUAGAACACAUUGGAUCCCAUUAGGAGUCUUCCUUGCAGCUAUCGUCAUCAGCAUCAUCAUCAUCUGGAGAAAAAAUGUCAAACAACGCAACGAAAGCCAUCAAUACGGUACUUCGAACCCUCAGACAAAGCACGGUUUGACCCGUCAUAUGUUUAUCUAUUUAUUUAGUCAUUAAGAAGAGUUGAAGUAGUCUUAGU